CGGACGGCAGCACAGAGAAGCUUGCUUCUUGGGUGGCGAGUGGCGAACGGGUGAGUAACAUAUCGGAACGUACCGAGCAGUGGGGGAUAACUAAUCGAAAGAUUAGCUAAUACCGCAUACAUUCUGAGGAAGAAAGCAGGGGACCAUUUGGCCUUGCGCUGUUUGAGCGGCCGAUAUCUGAUUAGCUAGUUGGUGGGGUAAAGGCCUACCAAGGCGACGAUCAGUAGCGGGUCUGAGAGGAUGAUCCGCCACACUGGGACUGAGACACGGCCCAGACUCCUACGGGAGGCAGCAGUGGGGAAUUUUGGACAAUGGGCGCAAGCCUGAUCCAGCCAUGCCGCGUGUCUGAAGAAGGCCUUCGGGUUGUAAAGGACUUUUGUCAGGGAAGAAAAGGGCGGGGUUAAUACCCCUGUCUGAUGACGGUACCUGAAGAAUAAGCACCGGCUAACUACGUGCCAGCAGCCGCGGUAAUACGUAGGGUGCGAGCGUUAAUCGGAAUUACUGGGCGUAAAGCGGGCGCAGACGGUUACUUAAGCAGGAUGUGAGAUCCCCGGGCUCAACCUGGGAACUGCGUUCUGAACUGGGUGACUAGAGUGUGUCAGAGGGAGGUAGAAUUCCACGUGUAGCAGUGAAAUGCGUAGAGAUGUGGAGGAAUACCGAUGGCGAAGGCAGCCUCCUGGGAUAACACUGACGUUCAUGCCCGAAAGCGUGGGUAGCAAAC
rnacentral:rRNA from 1 species